CGGACGGGUGAGUAAUGUCUGGGAAACUGCCUGAUGGAGGGGGAUAACUACUGGAAACGGUAGCUAAUACCGCAUAACGUCGCAAGACCAAAGAGGGGGACCUUCGGGCCUCUUGCCAUCAGAUGUGCCCAGAUGGGAUUAGCUAGUAGGUGGGGUAACGGCUCACCUGGGCGACGAUCCCUAGCUGGUCUGAGAGGAUGACCAGCCACACUGGAACUGAGACACGGUCCAG
rnacentral:rRNA from 1 species